rnacentral:rRNA from 1 species
AUUGAACGCUGGCGGCAGGCCUAACACAUGCAAGUCGAACGAGCGGCGGACGGGUGAGUAAUGUCUGGGAAACUGCCCGAUGGAGGGGGAUAACUACUGGAAACGGUAGCUAAUACCGCAUACCAUCGGAUGUGCCCAGAUGGGAUUAGCUUGUAGGUGAGGUAACGGCUCACCUAGGCGACGAUCCCUAGCUGGUCUGAGAGGAUGACCAGCAACACGGGAACUGGGACACGGGCAAGACGCCUACGGGAGGCAGCAGGGGGGAAUAUGGCACAAUGGGCGAAAGCCUGAUGCAGCGAUGCCGCGUGUAUGAAGAAGGCCUUCGGGUUGUAAAGUACUUUCAGGGGGGAGGCGUUACCCGCAGAAGAAGCACCGGCUAACUCCGUGCCAGCAGCCGCGGUAAUUC